rnacentral:rRNA from 1 species
AUGAACGCUGGCGGCGUGCCUAAUACAUGCAAGUCGAACGAGUUCUCGUUGAUGAUCGGUGCUUGCACCGAGAUUCAACAUGGAACGAGUGGCGGACGGGUGAGUAACACGUGGGUAACCUGCCCUUAAGUGGGGGAUAACAUUUGGAAACAGAUGCUAAUACCGCAUAGAUCCAAGAACCGCAUGGUUCUUGGCUGAAAGAUGGCGUAAGCUAUCGCUUUUGGAUGGACCCGCGGCGUAUUAGCUAGUUGGUGAGGUAAUGGCUCACCAAGGCGAUGAUACGUAGCCGAACUGAGAGGUUGAUCGGCCACAUUGGGACUGAGACACGGCCCAAACUCCUACGGGAGGCAGCAGUAGGGAAUCUUCCACAAUGGACGCAAGUCUGAUGGAGCAACGCCGCGUGAGUGAAGAAGGCUUUCGGGUCGUAAAACUCUGUUGUUGGAGAAGAAUGGUCGGCAGAGUAACUGUUGUCGGCGUGACGGUAUCCAACCAGAAAGCCACGGCUAACUACGUGCCAGCAGCCGCGGUAAUACGUAGGUGGCAAGCGUUAUCCGGAUUUAUUGGGCGUAAAGCGAGCGCAGGCGGUUUUUUAAGUCUGAUGUGAAAGCCCUCGGCUUAACCGAGGAAGCGCAUCGGAAACUGGGAAACUUGAGUGCAGAAGAGGACAUUGGAACUCCAUGUGUAGAGGUGAAAUGCGUAGAUAUAUGGAAGAACACCAGUGGCGAAGGCGGCUGUCUGGUCUGUAACUGACGCUGAGGCUCGAAAGCAUGGGUAGCGAACAGGAUUAGAUACCCUGGUAGUCCAUGCCGUAAACGAUGAAUGCUAGGUGUUGGAGGGUUUCCGCCCUUCAGUGCCGCAGCUAACGCAUUAAGCAUUCCGCCUGGGGAGUACGACCGCAAGGUUGAAACUCAAAGGAAUUGACGGGGGCCCGCACAAGCGGUGGAGCAUGUGGUUUAAUUCGAAGCAACGCGAAGAACCUUACCAGGUCUUGACAUCUUUUGAUCACCUGAGAGAUCAGGUUUCCCCUUCGGGGGCAAAAUGACAGGUGGUGCAUGGUUGUCGUCAGCUCGUGUCGUGAGAUGUUGGGUUAAGUCCCGCAACGAGCGCAACCCUUAUGACUAGUUGCCAGCAUUUAGUUGGGCACUCUAGUAAGACUGCCGGUGACAAACCGGAGGAAGGUGGGGAUGACGUCAAAUCAUCAUGCUCCUUAUGACCUGGGCUACACACGUGCUACAAUGGAUGGUACAACGAGUUGCGAGACCGCGAGGUCAAGCUAAUCUCUUAAAGCCAUUCUCAGUUCGGACUGUAGGCUGCAACUCGCCUACACGAAGUCGGAAUCGCUAGUAAUCGCGGAUCAGCACGCCGCGGUGAAUACGUUCCCGGGCCUUGUACACACCGCCCGUCACACCAUGAGAGUUUGUAACACCCGAAGCCGGUGGCGUAACCCUUUUAGGGAGCGAGCCGUCUAAGGUGGGACAAAUGAUUAGGGUG